rnacentral:rRNA from 1 species
GACGAACGCUGGCGGCGUGCUUAACACAUGCAAGUCGAACGGAAAGGCCUCUUUCGGGGGGUACUCGAGUGGCGAGCGGGUGAGUAACACGUGAGUAACCUGCCCUUGACUUUGGGAUAACUUCAGGAAACUGGGGCUAAUACCGGAUAGGAGCUCCUGCUGCAUGGUGGGGGUUGGAAAGUUUCGGCGGUUGGGGAUGGACUCGCGGCUUAUCAGCUUGUUGGUGGGGUAGUGGCUUACCAAGGCUUUGACGGGUAGCCGGCCUGAGAGGGUGACCGGCCACAUUGGGACUGAGAUACGGCCCAGACUCCUACGGGAGGCAGCGGUGGGGAAUAUUGCACAAUGGGUGGAAGCCUGAUGCAGCAACGCCGUGUGCGGGAUGACGGCCUUCGGGUUGUAAACCGCUUUCGCUCAUGACGAAGCUUUGUGUGACGGUAGUGGGUAAAGAAGCACCGGCUAACUACGUG